rnacentral:rRNA from 1 species
ACGAACGCUGGCGGCGUGCUUAACACAUGCAAGUCGAACGGUGAAGCGCCUUCCUUUUUGGUGGGGGUGGAUGAGUGGCGAACGAGUGAGUAACACGUGAGUAACCUGCCCCCUUCUUCUGGAUAACCGCAUGAAAGUGUGGCUAAUACGGGAUAUUCUGGGUCUGUCGCAUGAUGGGUCUGGGAAAGAUAUUGUUUCGGUGGGGGAUGGGCUCGCGGCCUAUCAGCUUGUUGGUGGGGUGAUGGCCUACCAAGGCGGUGGCGGGUAGCCGGCCUGAGAGGGUGGACGGUCACACUGGGAAUGAGACACGGCCAAGACUCCUACGGGAGGCAGCAGUGGGGAAUAUUGCACAAUGGGCGCAAGCAUGAUGCAGCGACGCCGCGUGAGGGAUGGAGGCCUUCGGGUUGUGAACCUCUUUCGCCAGUGAAGCAGGCCUGCCUCGUUUGUGGGUGGGUUGACGGUAGCUGGAUAAGAAGCGCCGGCUAACUACGUG